rnacentral:rRNA from 1 species
GUUGAAAACUCCGGUGUUGAUGAUGGGCAUGCGUUGUAUUAGCUGGUUGGUGAGGUAACGGCUCACCAAGGCGACGAUACAUAGGGGGACUGAGAGGUUAACCCCCCACAUUGGUACUGAGACACGGACCAAACUCCUACGGGAGGCAGCAGUGAGGAAUAUUGGUCAAUGGACGCAAGUCUGAACCAGCCAUGCCGCGUGCAGGAUGACGGCUCUAUGAGUUGUAAACUGCUUUUGUACGAGGGUAAACCCCGAUACGUGUAUCGGGUUGAAAGUAUCGUACGAAUAAGGAUCGGCUAACUCCGUGCCAGCAGCCGCGGUAAUACGGAGGAUCCGAGCGUUAUCCGGAUUUAUUGGGUUUAAAGGGUGCGUAGGCGGUUUGAUAAGUUAGAGGUGAAAUGUCGGGGCUCAACCCCGAAACUGCCUCUAAUACUGUUGGACUAGAGAAUAGUUGCGGUAGGCGGAAUGUAUGGUGUAGCGGUGAAAUGCUUAGAGAUCAUACAGAACACCGAUUGCGAAGGCAGCUUACCAAACUAUAUCUGACGUUGAGGCACGAAAGCGUGGGUAGCAAACAGGAUUAGAUACCCUGGUAGUCCACGCAGUAAACGAUGAUAACUCGUUGUCGGCGAUACACAGUCGGUGACUAAGCGAAAGCGAUAAGUUAUCCACCUGGGGAGUACGUUCGCAAGAAUGAAACUCAAAGGAAUUGACGGGGGCCCGCACAAGCGGAGGAACAUGUGGUUUAAUUCGAUGAUACGCGAGGAACCUUACCCGGGCUUGAAAGUUAGCGACGACGCUUGAAAGAGCGUUUCCCUUCGGGGCGCGAAACUAGGUGCUGCAUGGUUGUCGUCAGCUCGUGCCGUGAGGUGUCGGGUUAAGUCCCAUAACGAGCGCAACCCCUACUGUUAGUUGCCAUCAGGUGAUGCUGGGCACUCUAGCGGGACUGCCGGUGUAAGCCGAGAGGAAGGUGGGGAUGACGUCAAAUCAGCACGGCCCUUACGUCCGGGGCCACACACGUGUUACAAUGGUAGGUACAGAGGGCAGCUACCCUGCGAAGGGGUGCGAAUCUCGAAAGCCUAUCUCAGUUCGGAUUGGAGGCUGAAACCCGCCUCCAUGAAGUUGGAUUCGCUAGUAAUCGCGCAUCAGCCAUGGCGCGGUGAAUACGUUCCCGGGCCUUGUACACACCGCCCGUCAAG